rnacentral:rRNA from 1 species
GACGAACGCUGGCGGCGUGCCUAAUACAUGCAAGUAGAACGCUGAAGAGAGGAGCUUGCUCUUCUUGGAUGAGUGGCGAACGGGUGAGUAACGCGUAGGUAACCUGCCUUGUAGCGGGGGAUAACUAUUGGAAACGAUAGCUAAUACCGCAUAACAAUGUGUGACCCAUGUCAUUUAUUUGAAAGGGGCAAAUGCUCCACUACAAGAUGGACCUGCGUUGUAUUAGCUAGUAGGUGAGGUAACGGCUCACCUAGGCGACGGUACAUAGCCGACCUGAGAGGGUGGUCGGCCACACUGGGACUGAGACACGGCCCAGACUCCUACGGGAGGCAGCAGUAGGGCAUCUUCGGCAAUAGGGGCAACCCUGACCGAGCAACGCCGCGUGAGUGAAGAAGGUUUUCGGAUCGUAAAGCUCUGUUGUAAGUCAAGAACGAGUGUGAGAGUGGAAAGUUCACACUGUGACGGUAGCUUACCAGAAAGGGACGGCUAACUACGUG